UUGACUCAUUGAGAGUUGAGGCAGCGCGACGCAAGUUGCAAGUGUUUAGACAAACCAACUUAGGUACAGUAUCUGGGCUCAGGCGGGACCACCCGCUGAACUUAAGCAUAUCACUAAGCGGAGGAAAAGAAACUAACUAGGAUGGCCUCAGUAACGGCGAGUGAAGCGGCCAGAGCUCAAGAUGGAAAUCUCCGUGCAGCGCACGGCGAAUUGUAAUCUAGAGAGUCUAUUCUCAAAGGGAAGUGGCGCAGAAGUGACUUGGAACAGUCCGCCAAAGAGGGUGACAGCCCCGUACGUGGUGCCGCUACCUAACGAGAAGGGCUUCAAAGAGUCGGGUUGUUUUGUAUUGCAGCCCUAAGCGGGAGAUAAACUUCUUCUAAAGCUAAAUAUAUGUGGGAAACCGAUAGCGAACAAGUACUGUGAAGGAAAGAUGAAAAGCACUUUGGAAAGAGAGUCAAAAGACCUGAAACCGUUGAGGAGGAAGCGGUAGAGAUGAAUUCUACGGCGAAGCGCGGGUGGAGCGGCCCAAUCAUGGCGGGAGAGUCGUACGUCAAAGGCGGCCUUUUGUCCAAGAGGAAGCUGGUUUAUUUGCGCGGCGUUGUGAGGCCGGAUGAAGUGACGUGAUCACAAAGACCUGGCAGGAGUGGGGUGAUUCGUUAUCCAGCCUGUUAGAGUCGGUGGACGCGUGGCUUGAGGGUGCCUUGUGCGAUCCGGUCAAAAUGGUCUUUACCGACUCGUCUUGAAACACGAACCAAGGAGUCUAACGUACACGCGAGUAUGCUAGUGGAAAAACUAACAUGCGAAAUGAAGGUGAGAGAUGCCAAGCGCAAGCAGCAGCAUCAACCGACCAUGAUUCCCGCAAGGUGAUGAAAGGUUUGAGUAUGAGCGUGUCCGCUAGGACCCGAAAGAUGGUGAACUAUGCCUGCGUAGGGUGAAGCCAGGGGAAGCUCUGGUGGAGGCUCGUAGCGAUACUGACGUGCAAAUCGUUCGUCGAACGUGGGUAUAGGGGCGAAAGACUAAUCGAACCAUCUAGUAGCUGGUUCCCUCCGAAGUUUCCCUCAGGAUAGCUGGGACAAUUGCGCAGUUUUAUUAGGUAAAGCGAAUGAUUAGAGGAAUCGGGGGUUUCAUACUCUCGACCUAUUCUCAAACUUUAAAUUGGUAAGAACCCGGGCCUUUCUUAAGUGAGGCGCCGGGGCUCAAUGCGUGUCCUUAGUGGGCCAUUUUUGGUAAGCAGAACUGGCGAUGAGGGAUGCUCCUAACGUCGAGUUAAGGCGCCAAACUGCGCGCUCAUCAGAAACUACAAAGGGUGUUGGUCCAUCCAGACAGCAGGACGGUGGCCAUGGAAGUUGGAACCCGCUAAGGAGUGUGUAACAACUCACCUGCCGAAUGGACUAGCCCCGAAAAUGGAUGGCGCUUAAGCGCGCGGCCGAUACUCGACCAUCGCCUCGAGAGUGAGGAGGCGAUGAGUAGGAGGGCGUGGGCAUCGUUGCGAAGCCUCUGGCGUGAGCCUGGGUUGAACGGUGUCUAGUGCAGAUCUUGGUGGUAGUAGCAAUUAUUCAAAUGAGAACUUUGAAGGCCGAAGUGGAGAAGGUUUCCGUGAGAACAGCAAUUGGUCACGGGUGACUCGAUCCUAAGACAUGGGGGAAGUCCCUGUUAAGUACGCGCUUGCGUGUAGUCGAAAGGGAAUGAGGUUAAUAUUCCUCAAGCUGGAUGUGGGUGUUGUAUGGCAACAUAAAUGAGCCUGGGAACGCCGGCGCGAGCCUCUGGAAGAGUUCUCUUUUCUUUUUAACAGACUAGCGGCCCUGAAAUGGGAUUAUCCCGAGCUAGGGCGGCAUGUCUGGAAGAGCACCUCGCUUUCCGAGGUGUCAGGUGCGCUCGCGACGGUCCAUGAAAACCCAGGUGAGAUAGUUUCACACCAGGUCGUACCCAUAACCGCAUCAGGUCUCCAAGGUU
rnacentral:rRNA from 1 species